UCGGUACCUUUCGGCUUUCUUUGUUUCCGUGUAGCGUAGCUCGCACUCUUCUUCUUUGAGCUUUCCUUCCCCUCUUGGACCUCUUUGAACCUGACUGUGAGCCUUUCAAGUUGGAAGGUUGUUGGUUUGCGCCUUGGAGAAGUGUUGGAGCUACAUUUACGUGUCAUGUGGCGAAUGUCUCAGUACUCCUUGUCAGGUUUGUGCCUUUUUGUCGCACUCGCCGACUGUAUAAGAUCUGGUUACUUUGGUGGAAAGUUUGUCAUAACUCGUAACAUUUUGUCCUUCUCCAUUUUUUAUCAAGUAUUUUAUUUAUUAUUGGACGAGCUGGGAAAAAAAGAUGGAGAGAAUUGGAAGCAGAAAGCGCUCCCGAUCCCGUGGGAGCCCUGAGACGCUGAUGGCCGAGAAUCCAGGGAAAAAAAGAUGGAGAGAAGAACUGAGAAGCGUUGAAGAAGAGCAGUUAUAUCAAGCAACGGAAAUGAGUCUGCAUAACUUUCACCAAGAUUCAACUGCUGCUACACAUGGCGCACUGCAGCAGCAGCAGGUACCCCACUUGUCCAGUAUGUUAAGUGCUGAAUUAGAUGCGGACAUGAGUAACACACGCAGCAGCACCAUUGGCAUUGGCAGUUUUGCUGUAGAGUUUGGCGUUCCAUCCGAUAUUGAAUUUGAUAGCAAAUGGUCAUUUACUCCAGCUCCUACCACAGUUUGGUCAAAUUCUCCUGAGUCGUCGCCGUCCCGCUCGUCAUUGUCAUGCGCCCGUAUAGACACCACUAGUAGUAACAUGCCCACCAGUACUAGUGCUGGAGCUGUGUAUCCAAAGGGUACCGACAUGAUCAGCUGUCCGUACUGCUCAGAUUUUGUGCAUGAUCUGUAUCUGCACCAAAUGGAAUGCGUUACAGCAAGUAGUUUUCUAACGCAAACGACAAGUACAGCAAUGACGGGAGCAACGAUGACCACGGGAGAUGGCGAGCGGCAUCCUGCUGGCGAAGCAACAUCUGCUAUUGCCAUGGACAUCUCAGACUGCUGCGUGUCGUGGUCAUGCUAGCAGUCAGACCCCCACAAUGACAUGAUGUUUCUGAUUGUGAACAAGACAGAGAUUUGGAUGUGUAGAGAGCACGCUUUAUUGUCAAUCUUGCAACCUUGCCUAUCACUCUUUUAAUGAUUAUGUACUACAACACUACUCACUCCAGCGUGUGUGCUGCUUUUAUGUGUUAUCUUACUUGUAUCUUUUAUUUUUGUCACAUGUUGCUUGUUGGAGACUGUUGUUUGUGUUGUUUUGUUCCUCACAUCCCCAUGCUAUUUCUUCAUUCUCGCGGUUUUUUGGCCCGUUCCACCAAAUUGCGUGUUGCGUGUUGAUUUUGUUUUGUUUAGGCCUUAUAUAUGCGUAAAUGA